UUUCCUAUAAAUAGUGACCAUUUGUGUGGAGACCAUUAAUAGGCUCUCGAUUAAUCAUUCUUUUCUCUCUUUCUUUCAACAAAUAUCUCUUUUUCUUUUCUCUUUUAUUCUCUCUUUUUUUCCUUUUCUUAUUUAUUUAUUUAGAAUUAUUGGAUUUAUUUUUUCCAUUUUUAUUUCCCUAAAAUGAAGUUUAAUUUUGUUGGGGGGCAAAAGAAGGAACAUAUGUGAUAUAUGUUGUUGACAGAAGAUAGAGAGCACAGAUGAUGAUAUGCAAAAAUUUCAUCAAUCAUUAUUAUUAAUAUCAUUCUUUGUUUUUUAGGGUUUAGAACUUUAGAGAGAGACAUUAUUAUCCUUAUCACUAUGCAUUUCACUCCAUUUGUGCUCUCUAUGCUUCUGUCAUCACUCUCUUCACCCCUUCCUUUUAUAUACCCCAUCCCUUCACUACUUUUAAUUUACUUAUAUUUUUCUAAUCUCCUUCCCAUUUCUAAUCACUUAUAAUUUAUAAAUCUUCUACAUAUAUACAGCCCUAAGAAAUGUGUUGAUUUUUCUAUGUGUUUAGGUGCUUUGUGCAGCAGUUCAAACAGCCUAGGGCAAGGGAGGAUGAGAAGAAUUAUUAAGAAAUAUGCUUAGACGUUGAGGUAUUCGGAUGCGUCUACUCAUCUUCGUAUUCUUGUUUCCUUUAAUUGGAAACUAAUGAAAUUAUGAUGAAGGGGUUGAAGAUAUAUGAUAAUUACCAAUUAAGAUGCCUAUAUGCCAAUGAGAUAUUAAAAGAGUAAAGUGAAUAUUCCUCAAAGAGGGGGAAAUGAGGCUCACAACUGCCACUUGUUUGAUUCAUUUAUAUUUGUGGGUGAGAAUGGACAUUACUCAUCUUCCCAACAUUAUGUAUAGAUAUUGUGUUUUUUGUAAUACCAAAAGUAAAUAAAUAUGGAGGCAAAAAUUAAAGGAGGGGUUUGGAAUAAAUCCUCACCUAAAAAUGAAGCCAUUACUUUUCAUA